rnacentral:rRNA from 1 species
AGAGUUUGAUCAUGGCUCAGGAUGAACGCUAGCUACAGGCUUAACACAUGCAAGUCGAGGGGCAUCAGUUUGGUUUGCUUGCAAACCAAAGCUGGCGACCGGCGCACGGGUGAGUAACACGUAUCCAACCUGCCUCAUACUCGGGGAUAGCCUUUCGAAAGAAAGAUUAAUAUCCGAUAGCAUAUAUUUCCCGCAUGGGUUUUAUAUUAAAGAAAUUCGGUAUGAGAUGGGGAUGCGUUCCAUUAGUUGGUUGGCGGGGUAACGGCCCACAAGGACUACGAUGGAUAGGGGUUCUGAGAGGAAGUCCCCCANAUUGGAACUGAGACACGGUCCAAACUCCUACGAGAGCA